UACGAAGGGGGCGAGCGUUGUUCGGAAUUACUGGGCGUAAAGCGCACGUAGGCGGCUUUGUAAGUUAGAGGUGAAAGCCCAGGGCUUAACUCUGGAAUUGCCUUUAAGACUGCAUCGCUAGAAUCGUGGAGAGGUGAGUGGAAUUCCGAGUGUAGAGGUGAAAUUCGUAGAUAUUGGGAAGAACACCGGUGGCGAAGGCGGCGACCUGGUCCUUGACUGACGCUGAGGCGCGAGAGCGUGGGGAGCAAACAGG
rnacentral:rRNA from 1 species